AGAUUGAACGCUGGCGGCAGGCCUAACACAUGCAAGUCGAGCGGUAGAGAGGUGCUUGCAUCUCUUGAGAGCGGCGGACGGGUGAGUAAUGCCUAGGAAUCUGCCUAGUGGUGGGGGAUAACGUUCGGAAACGGACGCUAAUACCGCAUACGGUCCUACGGGAGAAAGCGGGGGACCUUCGGGCCUCGCGCCAUUAGAUGAGCCUAGGUCGAUUAGCUAGUUGGUGAGGUAAUGGCU
rnacentral:rRNA from 1 species